AACGAACGCUGGCGGCAUGCCUAACACAUGCAAGUCGAACGGGAUCCUAGCUUGCUAGGUGAGAGUGGCGGACGGGUGAGUAACACGUGGGAAUCUGCCUUUGGUUCGGGAUAACCGCGGGAAACUGCGGCUAAUACCGAAUGCCCUCGAGAGAGGAAAGAUUUAUCGCCAGAAGAGGAGCCCGCGUCCGAUUAGGUAGUUGGUGGGGUAAAGGCCUACCAAGCCGACGAUCGGUAGCUGGUCUGAGAGGAUGAUCAGCCACACUGGGACUGAGAUACGGCCCAGACUCCUACGGGAGGCAGCAGUGGGGGAUAUUGCGCAAUGGGCGAAAGCCUGACGCAGCGACGCCGCGUGGGUGAUGAAGGCCUGGUCGUAAGACC
rnacentral:rRNA from 1 species